rnacentral:rRNA from 1 species
UGGGGAAUUUUGGACAAUGGGCGCAAGCCUGAUCCAGCCAUGCCGCGUGCGGGAAGAAGGCCUUCGGGUUGUAAACCGCUUUUGUCAGGGAAGAAACGCGCUGAGUUAAUACCUCGACGUAAUGACGGUACCUGAAGAAUAAGCACCGGCUAACUACGUGCCAGCAGCCGCGGUAAUACGUAGGGUGCAAGCGUUAAUCGGAAUUACUGGGCGUAAAGCGUGCGCAGGUGGUCAUGUAAGACAGAUGUGAAAUCCCCGGGCUCAACCUGGGAAUUGCAUUUGUGACUGUAUGGCUACAGUGUGGCAGAGGGGGAUGGAAUUCCGCGUGUAGCAGUGAAAUGCGUAGAUAUGCGGAGGAACACCGAUGGCGAAGGCAGUCCCCUGGGCCUGCACUGACACU